UUCCGUCGAAAAAUAUUAGAUUAACCCUAGCUCAGAUCUUACCCUCUCGAUCCAUUCACACUCCACACAAGUUUAGUAGGAGCUUCUCCCUCUCUCCAUCCACGCUCUCUCCAUCGCUCCGUCCACGCUCUCCCCAUCGCAGGAGCUUCGCCGCUCUCUCCAUCGCUUACGAGCUCUAUUUUCCUACUUCUGUUUGAGCUUUGUUUUAGUCCCCUCCAUUUAGAUCUGCGCUUCCGAAUUUCAGAUCGCGUUCCGAUUCAAUUUGAGGCAAUAAUCACUUCCGUCAUUUCAAAGAUCGAACGCAGACAUGGUUGUACUUGCUGCAUCCAUUGUGGGCAAAUCUCGUAAAGGUGAGUUUUCAGAUCACGGCUACAUCUUGAAUUGAUGCUCAGUUAGGUGGUGCCUAAAUCAAUAUGGAUUAGAAAUUGCUGUUGCACUGACAAGGGCUUCUUUCUUUUGGAUGCAGUUCUGGUUUUUAGG